rnacentral:rRNA from 1 species
UUACGGGAGGCAGCAGUGGGGAAUAUUGCUCAAUGGGCGAAAGCCUGAAGCAGCAACGCCGCGUGCGCGAUGAAGGUCUUCGGAUCGUAAAGCGCUUUUGAGAGGGACGAGAUAGGACGGUACCUCUUGAAUAAGUCACGGCUAACUACGUGCCAGCAGCCGCGGUAAAACGUAGGUGGCAAGCGUUAUCCGGAUUCACUGGGCGUAAAGCGAGUGCAAGUGGUUGUGUAAGUUGGAUGUGAAAUUUCCCAGCCUAACUGGGAAGGGUCAUUCAAUACUGCGCGACUUGAGGGCAGAAGAGGGGGGUGGAAUUGCCGGUGUAGUGGUGAAAUGCGUAGAUAUCGGCAGGAACACCUGUGGCGAAAGCGGCCCCCUGGUCUGCUCCUGACACUCAGACUCGAAAGCUAGGGUAGCGAACGGGAUUAGAUACCCGGGU